rnacentral:tRNA from 1 species
AGGAAUGUAGUUAAAUAUAUAAUAUUUAUUUUGCUAAUAAAAGUUAUUUUAAAGAUUAUUCUUA